rfam:Gallibacterium salpingitidis strain F150 contig000045, whole genome shotgun sequence.
GUUUCCUGCCGUAUAGGCAGCUUAGAAA